rnacentral:rRNA from 1 species
CCUACGGGUGGCAGCCGUAGGGAAUAUUGCACAAUGGGGGAAACCCUGAAGCAGCAACGCCGCGUGGAGGAUGAAGGUUUUCGGUUUGUAAACUCCUUUUGUCAGAGCAGAUAAUGACGGUAUCUAACGAAUAAGCACCGGCUAACUCCGUGCCAGCAGCCGCGGUAAUACGGAGGGUGCAAGCGUUACUCGGAUUCACUGGGUGUAAAGAGCGCGUAGGCGGGAUAGCAAGUCAGAUGUGAAAUACUAUGGCUUAACCAUAGAACUGCAUGUGAAACUGUUAUUCUAGAGUAUGGGAGAGGUAGGUGGAAUGCUUGGUGUAGGGGUAAAAUGCGUAGAGAUCAAGAGGAAGACUCAUGGCGAAGGCGGCCUGCUAGAACAUAACUGACGCUGAGGCGCGAAAGCGUGGGGAGCAAACAGGAUUAGAUACCCCAGUAGUC